AUGAUUAUGGCAUGAUUUUGAGGGUGUGAUGAGUUAUUAAUUAUAAUGUCAUUUUAAAUAUACAUGCAUUGUGUAAAGGCUUAGUUUUUUAUUUCAUGAAUGAACUAAUAUGCAAUUGAUACAAGAAGGGAUAAUAUGAAAUUGUUGACAUGACAUAAAUAGAUACAUGAAACAUGAAUUAAUUCGUUAGACUAUUUUAUCUACUUUUAUUAUCCCCACCCUGUCUGAAAAGAUGGAUGACCACUCCCUGUGGAUGACAGAACAAAGCGUGUAGGAGAUCCUAGGACCAUUGUGGUGAAGUACGACCGUGGUCAGAGAAUUUAGGACCACAGUAGUUGGCAGAC
rnacentral:lncRNA from 1 species